rnacentral:rRNA from 1 species
GAUGAACGCUAGCGGCAGGCUUAAUACAUGCAAGUCGUGGGGCAGCAGGACUGUAGCAAUACAGUUGCUGGCGACCGGCAAACGGGUGCGGAACACGUACGCAACUUACCCUGAACUGGGGGAUAGCCCGGGGAAACCCAGAUUAAUACCCCGUAAUAUAAUGGAGUGGCAUCACUUUAUUAUUAAAGCUCCGGCGGUUCGGGAUGGGCGUGCGGCUGAUUAGGUAGUUGGUUGAGGUAACGGCUCACCAAGCCUACGAUCAGUAACUGGUGUGAGAGCACGACCAGUCACACGGGCACUGAGACACGGGCCCGACUCCUACGGGAGGCAGCAGUAAGGAAUAUUGGGCAAUGGAGGCAACUCUGACCCAGCCAUGCCGCGUGGAGGAUGAAGGCCCUCUGGGUUGUAAACUUCUUUUAUGGGGGACGAAACCUGUGUAUUCUUACGCAGUUGACGGUACCCUAGGAAUAAGCACCGGCUAACUCCGUG